UNGAUGUACCAGAACUUAAAUAGCAGUUUC
rnacentral:piRNA from 1 species